ACCCGAUCAAGGAUAACACUAACCGCUUAACAUUUAAUAACUUAAAAAGAAUUCCCAUAACACCUUGAGCAUACUACUACCUCAACACACAAUAUCACACUUGAUCAGAAACAAAAAGACUUAAGCUCCCGUACAUACGGUUCAAACCUACUAAAUCUCCUCCCUAUCACUAACGUCGUAGCAAUUCAAUCAUUAAAUUCAUUUUCCUCAUCA
rnacentral:lncRNA from 1 species